rnacentral:lncRNA from 1 species
GUCGCUGGUUCCCGGCAGAGAGUGGUGGUGGCUUUACCCGCGACUGCCCUGGAGUCCUUGGCUGUAUCUCUGCUGCGGAGCCGAAGUUUGGUGGGCUCUCUUCCUAUCGGGGGCUGGAGCCGCAAGGAUCCAGGUUCUCUCUGAGGGGGCUCACGUGUCUACCUACUUUCAAGCUGUCCAACACUGAUGGCGUGUACUUAAGGGGCCGACGGCCUGGAAGACAUAAGUCGCCUGGACCACGCGGUGGACACCGGUUGGGGGCUGGAGACUGCCGACCCGGGCUGUGCGAAUGACAGCUGAGCUGGGACCUGGAGAAUGCAUCUGAAUUACCCAAAAGGAGAGUAGAGUGUUGCAUGCAGAGAACAGCGUAGGCAAAAUGGCCCGGCGAUAAUAAAGUUAGGUUCGGAGAACUGAAGUUAGUUAUGGCCAGAGCAGAGAUUGUGGGUGGGGAUAGGCGACAGACCAGGCUGGAGAAGGACACGGCGACUGCCUCACUCAGAUCCUAAUAAGUAAGCUGAAUUAGGGAGUUUGAACUUGAGUAUUGAAAGAUUUUAAACUGAAGAACCACAUGAUUUGAUUUGUGUGUGGUUUUGUGUUUUAGUAGAGACGGGGCCUCCCUAUAUUGCCCAGGCUGGUCUCGAACCCCUGGGCCCAAGGGAUCCUCCUGCCUUGGCCUCCCAAAGUGCUGGGAUUACAGGCGUGAGCUACCGUGCCCAGCCUGAUUUGUGGUGGUGUUUUUUUGUUUGUUUGUUUGUUUGUUCGUUUGUUUUGGAGACGGAGUCGCUCUUGUUGCCCGGCCUGGAGUGCAGUGGCAGCUCACUGCAACUCCGCUUCCCAGGUUCAAGCGAUUCUCCUGCCUCAGCCUCCUGAGUAGCUGGGAUUACAGGCUCCUGCCACCACGCCCGGCUAAUUUUUUUUUUUUUUUUUUUUUUGAGACGGAGUUUCGUUCUUGUCGCCCAGGCUGGAGUGCAAUGGCGCGAUCUUGGCUCACUGCAACUUCUGCCGCCUGGGUUCAAGCGAUUCUCCAGCCUCAACCUCCGGAAUAGAUGGCAUUACAGACGCCCUUCACCACGCCCUGCUAAUUUUUGUAUUUUCAGUAGAGAUGGGGUUUCAGCAUGUUGGCCAGGCUGGUCUCAAACUCCUGGCCUCCGGUGAUCCGCCCGCCUCAGCCUCCCAAAGUGCUGGGAUUAUAGGCAUGAGCCACUGCACCCAGGCCUGAUUUGUGUUUUUCAAAGAUUACUCUGACCGCAGUAUGGCGAAUGGACUAAGGGCAGGGAGAUCGCUUGGAUUGUUGUUGUCUUCUUGGCAAGAGAUGAUGGUGUCCUGACCUAAGGACGAAGCUGUGGGAAUGGAAAGAAGUGGAUGGACUCUGGAUAAUUUGGAACGUAGAAUCCCCAGGAUUUGGGAUAGGGGUAAGGGAAGGAGUGCUCCCAGAUACCUAUUGAUGUUCAGAUUCUAGCUUAGGAAGCUAGUGGCAGGUGAGCCCUUCAUCAAAAAAAUGAAAUACAAGAGGAGAGAAGAAGGUUUUGGGAACUGGUGUGUAUAGGAAAUAAGUUUUUAUACUUAAGUUUGAGGUCAGCUGAUAAAAAGGUCAGCUCCAGAAGUUAUUUCCUUUAGUGAUUAGGAAUAUAAAGUAGGGGCCGGGCGUGGUGGCUCACACAUGUAAUCCCAGCACUUUGGGAAGCUGAAGAGGGCCGAUCACCUGAGGGCAGGAGUUCAAGACCUGCCUGGCCAACAUGGCAAAACCCCAUCUCUACUAAAAAUACAAAAAUUAGGCCGGGCACAGUGGCUCACGCCUGUAAUCCCAACUUUGGGAGGCUGAGGCAGGGGGAUCACAAGGUCAGGAAAUCGAGACCAGCCUGACCAACAUGGUAAAACCCUGUCUCUACUAAAAAUACAAAAAUUAGCCGGGCAUAGUGGCGUGUUCCUGUAAUCCCAGCUACUUGGGAGGCUGAGGCAGGAGAAUCACUUGAACCUGAAGGCGGAGGCUGCAGUGAGACGAAAUCGUACCACUGCACUCCAGCCUGGCAACAGACGUGACUCUUUCUCAAAAAUAAUAAUAAUAAUAAUAAUAAUAAUCUGGACCGGGUGCAGUGGCUCUUUCCUGUAACCCCAGCACUUUGGGAGGCUGAGGCAGGUGGAUCACGAGGUCAGGAGCUCAAGACCAACUUGGCCAAGACAGUGAAACCCCGUUUCUACUAAAAAUACAAAAAUUAGUCAGACGUGGUGGUGGGCGCAUGUAUUCCCAGCUACUUGGGAGGCUGAGGCAGAGAAUUGCUUGAACCUGGGAGGUGGAGGUUGCAGUGAGCUGAGAUCGCGCCACUGCACUCCAGCCUGGGCAACAAUAGCGAGCCUGUUCUCAAAAAAAAAAAAAGGAAAAAAGAAAAUAAUCGCACCACUGCACUUCAGCCUGGGUGACAAAGUGAGACCCUGUCUCAAAAAAAUAAAUAAAUAAAACAACCUAAAUAAAGUCCAACUACCUCUUUACCCUAGAAGAGUUUUCCUAAGAUACAGCUCAUAGACUUUUCUCCCCCGACAUAUCCUUGGAACCAUGGCCAAGGUGACCCCGAAUCACCAGCCCAGCUUCCGUAUGUCUAGCCACCCUGAAGCCUGUGGUGCCCUUCUGGAGGACCCUCUUUAAAUGUGUUAAUACACAGUACUGCUAAAAAGGAAGCCAUGACAUGGUCAGUGGCCCUUGACUGGAAUUAAUAAAAGUAUGUUCUUUGAGUGAAAUCUGUAGAUUUUGAUCUUUCUGCAAGGGGUCUUCUAAUGAUUCACGUACUGAAGUUAGUCCGUAUUGAGUCUAAUCAAUGUCUAAAUUUAGUGAAUAAACGUUGCUUUAAACUCCCUCUUGAGUCAGCUUCCCAGAGAACCCAACCAGUCAAAGUUUCCAAUUAGUAAAAUGAGGAUAAUGAUAGUGUCUGUCUCUUUGGGUUCUUAUAAGGUUUAAGUUUACAAAGCAGGCAUGGAGGCACAGGUCUAUGGUCCCAGUUACUUGGGAGGCUAAGGUAGGAGGAUCGGUUGAGCCCAGGAGGUGGAAUCCAUCCUUGGCAACUUAGAGAAACCACGUCUCAAAAAAAAUAGUAAGUUAGGCCAAGCCGAGUGUGGUGGCUCACGCCUGUAAUCCCAGCACUUUGGGAGGCCGAGGCAGGCGGAUUACCUGAGGUCAGGAGUUCAAGACCAGCCUGGCCGACAUGGUGAAAUCCCAUCUCUACUAAAAAUACAAAAAAAAAAAAAUUAGCUGUGCAUUGUGGCAGGCGCAUGUAAUCCCAGCUACCUGGGAGGCUGAGGCAGGAGAAUCACUUGAACCCAGGAGGCGGAGUUGGAGUGAGCUGAGAUCGCGCCAUUGCACUCCAGCCUGGGCAACAAGAGUGAAAUUCCAUCUCAAAAUUUAAAAAAAUAAUGAUAAUAAUAAGUUAGGCCAGGCGGGGUGGCUCAUGCCUGUAAUCCUAGCACUUUGGGAGACCAAGGAGGGUGGAUCACUUGAGGUCAGGAGUUCGAGACCAGCCUGGCUGAUAUGGUGAAACCCCGUCUCUACUAAAAAUACAAAAAUUCGCUGGGCGUGGUGGCACCCACCUGUAGUCCCAGCUACUCGGGAGGCUGAGGCAGGAGAAUUGCUUGCACCUGGAAGGCGGAGGUUGCAGUGAGCUGAGAUCACAUCACUGCACUCCAGCCUGGGCAACAGAGCGAGACCUCAUCUCAAAAAAAAAAAAAAAAAAAUACUGUCCAUUAUCUAAUCUUGGAAUUUUUUUUUUUUUUUUGAAACAGAGUCUUGCACUGUCACCCAGGCUGGAGUGCAGUGGUAUGAUCAUGGCUCACUGCAGCCUUAGACUCCUGGGCUCAAGCAAUCCUCCCACCUCAGCCUGCCAAGUAGCUGGGACUAGAGGCAUGUGCCAACACACCCUGCUAAUUUUUUUAUUUUUAUUUUUUGUAGGGACAAGAUCUCACUAUGUUGCCCAAGCUGGUCUCCAAUUCCUAUCCUCAAGUGAUCCUCCUGCCUCAGUUUCUUAAAAGUGUUGAGAUUAUAGCAUGAGCCACCAUAUCCGGCCCAAUCUUACAACUUGGUCCUCUUGAUCAGGCACCCUCAGAAUCCAGUCGUUUGCUACUCUCCCAGCUCCUGCCACCACCUGCUUGGCUAGUUCUUGCAGCUCUUUUGGCGUAUAGUCCUUUUCCUCCUUUAUUAGGCCCAAUAUGUCCCCCACUGGGUUAUGUGGUGACUUAACCCUAUAUAAGUCUAGUGGCCAGGAGAGGGGUAAGAGCAGAUUCUGAGGGGAAGGAGAAAUCCUUCAGUCCUGCCAGGGACAAGCCUCUGCAGUGUCUAAAAGGAGGAGAGGAGGCUGGAUGGAAGAUCAUUUCUGCAGGUUCAGAGGGUUCGGGAGUACCUGGGAUUUCAAAUUCUUUAGGGGUAUUAACCAGAUAUCCCCAUCCCAUUUGUCAUGGUCCCAUUAUUUCUCAACUAGGGCCUGGCCUUUGGCUUAGGCACACUGCCUUGCUUGGGAGUUUAAGCUUAUUGGAGCUCCGGCUACUCUGAUGAUUAUCCUCAGGCUCAGCUUUCCUUGACCUCUUACUGUAGGUAUUGAAAGUCUCUUUAUUUAUUGUAUUUAUUUUUAUUUAUUUAU